rnacentral:rRNA from 1 species
UUUUAGAGUUUGGAUUCUGGCUCAGGAUGAACGCUGGCGGCGUGCCUAAUACAUGCAAGUCGAGCGAACAGACGAGGAGCUUGCUCCUUUGACGUUAGCGGCGGACGGGUGAGUAACACGUAGGUAACCUACCUAUAAGACUGGGAUAACUUCGGGAAACCGGAGCUAAUACCGGAUAAUAUUUCGAACCGCAUGGUUCGAUAGUGAAAGAUGGCUUUGCUAUCACUUAUAGAUGGACCUGCGCCGUAUUAGCUAGUUGGUAAGGUAACGGCUUACCAAGGCAACGAUACGUAGCCGACCUGAGAGGGUGAUCGGCCACACUGGAACUGAGACACGGUCCAGACUCCUACGGGAGGCAGCAGUAGGGAAUCUUCCGCAAUGGGCGAAAGCCUGACGGAGCAACGCCGCGUGAGUGAUGAAGGUCUUCGGAUCGUAAAACUCUGUUAUUAGGGAAGAACAAACGUGUAAGUAACUGUGCACGUCUUGACGGUACCUAAUCAGAAAGCCACGGCUAACUACGUGCCAGCAGCCGCGGUAAUACGUAGGUGGCAAGCGUUAUCCGGAAUUAUUGGGCGUAAAGCGCGCGUAGGCGGUUUUUUAAGUCUGAUGUGAAAGCCCACGGCUCAACCGUGGAGGGUCAUUGGAAACUGGAAAACUUGAGUGCAGAAGAGGAAAGUGGAAUUCCAUGUGUAGCGGUGAAAUGCGCAGAGAUAUGGAGGAACACCAGUGGCGAAGGCGACUUUCUGUCGUAACGACGCUAUGAAGCUGCCGAA